rnacentral:lncRNA from 1 species
CUGUAGGAAGAUUGAUUGGCUCAGUCAGCUGGCUCCACGUGGGGGCAUGAUGAAUAUGGAUGAACGAUGGACAAUGUCGGCAUGGUAGACUGGAAACCUUCCUUUUGUUGUUGAGUGACAGGGGGAAGUUGGGUGAAACUGGGUGCAUUUCUUCUUCCUUCCAGAUGAGUGACCAAGACCGUGUAAGGAGCACGAUAAAGAGGCAGCUUCCCCAGGAGCAUCAGGCAGGGUCCCUGGGUUUGUGCUCUUAUGGACCUCCUGCUCCUGUGGUUCCUCCAUACCCUUUGUCUUUGCCUGCUUGUUUCUGUAGGGUUCUGGGCUCCUCUCAGCACUAAAGUUGUUUUUAAAUGGGGGGCUGAGGGGAAUAGGGAGGAGAAGCUGCUAAGUGGAUUAUGAUUUCAUAUCCCACUCAGGUAUCCUCUUAUACAUUAAAAAGAGUUGUGGAAACACAGAAGUUUUUUGUUGUUGUUUUUGUUUGUUUCUUUCACCUGCAGAUAAAUUUUCUGUGCACUUAUGCUCUUGGAAUUGAAUAUAGGGCCUAGUGCAUAUUAGUGAAAUAACUCUAACACCAAGCUUCACCCCCAGAUGCUGGAGUAUAAU